AUAUUGGACAAUGGGGGGAACCCUGAUCCAGCCAUGCCGCGUGUGUGAAGAAGGCCUUAUGGUUGUAAAGCACUUUAAGCGAGGAGGAGGCUACUAGUAUUAAUACUACUGGAUAGUGGACGUUACUCGCAGAAUAAGCACCGGCUAACUCUGUGCCAGCAGCCGCGGUAAUACAGAGGGUGCGAGCGUUAAUCGGAUUUACUGGGCGUAAAGCGUGCGUAGGCGGCCAUUUAAGUCAAAUGUGAAAUCCCCGAGCUUAACUUGGGAAUUGCAUUCGAUACUGGAUGGCUAGAGUAUGGGUGAGGAUGGUAGAAUUCCAGGUGUAGCGGUGAAAUGCGUAGAGAUCUGGAGGAAUACCGAUGGCGAAGGCAGCCAUCUGGCCUAAUACUGACGCUGAGGUACGAAAGCAUGGGGAGCAAAC
rnacentral:rRNA from 1 species